rfam:Bacillus sp. FJAT-22058 super1, whole genome shotgun sequence.
UUCUUAUCAAGAGAGACGGAGGGACUGGCCCGAAGAUGUCUCGGCAGCGGACUUAAAUGGAGUGCUGUGCCAAAUCCAGCAGGCUGAUUGUCGCCUGAAAGAUAAGGA